rnacentral:rRNA from 1 species
UACGGGGGGGGGCAAGCGUUGUUCGGAAUUACUGGGCGUAAAGAGCUCGUAGGCGGUGUGUCACGUCGUUCGUGAAAACCUGCAGCUUAACUGUGGGCGUGCGGGCGAUACGGGCAGACUAGAGUACUGCAGGGGAGACUGGAAUUCCUGGUGUAGCGGUGGAAUGCGCAGAUAUCAGGAGGAACACCGGUGGCGAAGGCGGGUCUCUGGGCAGUAACUGACGCUGAGGAGCGAAAGCGUGGGGAGCGAACAGG